rnacentral:lncRNA from 1 species
GGGAGGUGGGGGUACUGGCUCCCUAGUGUCUACUGAGCUAUGUGAUGUCAAGAUUGUCAUCUUAAUUCUUAAACAGAGAAUAAUGGUAGUUGCUCUGGUUGUUGGGUGAUGAGAUAAUUGUGAAAUCUUGAACACACUACCCAGCUGGUCAAAAGCAAUAGGUAUUAGGUUUCUUUCUGACUGUCCAAGCCUCCAUUACUAUCAUCUCUGUGUGAUUGUGGACACCGUCAGCAGAGCUGAUGGGCCAGCAUCAGGUUCCCUCCGUUCUCAUUCCUAGCCUCCAGGCCCAGUGCCCAUCUUGGGUCCCUAUGUGGACUCACCAGCUCUGCAGAAUCUUCCUGUGUCUUCAAUUGUCAUUCUCAGGGAGAGGGCCUAAUCAUCCACCAGGCGCCCUAUUGGUCUCACCCAAAAAGGCCAACGCCUGUGCUGUAAUGAUUAUUCUAAGGCAGCCAGGAGGCCCAGGUGGACCAAGAAGAACCCGAGGCUGCACCUCAGUUCAGACCUCAGCUGGGCGACUGAUGACCUGGGGCCUGGACAAGUUAGUUUAGCCUCUCUCUGAAGUUUGUUUUUGGUAAGGAAAAUGCAAGUGCUAAUGUCUGAUGGCCACCUUGAGCCCAGUGAGGAAGGUGUUGGGACCAAGUUGUGCCAGACGGUUGGAUUAAGGUUUGGAAAAGGCGUGUGGUUCCUAGGGAGAAGGGGGCUUGGCACCUGAGGAGGUGGGCAAGGCCUGAGCCAUGGGAUCCAUCCCAUCCAGAGUCUCCA